ACCGCACGCAAACCCAAAGAUCAUUGUUCUUGUAUAUAAUGCUCUUGCUAUGUGUGCGCAAAGAAAUAGGACCUUGUCGCCUUUCAUAAGCUCUUGCGUGCCAAUGGAAGUGAAUUCUUGGUUCAACAUCG